UACGAGGGGGGCAAGCGUUGUUCGGAAUUAUUGGGCGUAAAGGGCGCGUAGGCGGUUUGACAAGUCUGAUGUGAAAUCUCUGGGCUCAACCCAGAGUCUGCAUUAGAAACUGUCGGGCUUGAGUAUGGGAGAGAUGAGUGGAAUUUCCGGUGUAGCGGUGAAAUGCGUAGAUAUCGGAAGGAACACCUGUGGCGAAAGCGGCUCACUGGACCAUAACUGACGCUGAGGCGCGAAAGCUAGGGGAGCAAACAGG
rnacentral:rRNA from 1 species